CCCCGAACGUGCCUUAGUUUUCCCUAUCUCCCCCUGUUUCAAAACAAAAACAUAAGUGUCGUUUUUGGUUUAAUUCAUUUUGUUCGUCGAUUAUGUUGGCUUUGGUUUACACCCUUGGUACUCCGUUGUUCGUCGUAACGCGCUCCUUCGUCCAGUGGUCACCGUUUUUUGUUUGCUACCGACGUUAUCAUUAUCGGGGAGGAAGUAGUUUCGGGUUUCGUUAAUAAACCUAUUUUCCGACGUUGUUUCCAUAAACCGACCCCGGUACUCUUGCGUCUCUGGAUCGCUCUUCAGUAGAUCUUGAUCAGCCUUGACCUACUCAGUUUGAUUAUGUUCGCUCAUCUCGAGGAUCCUCUUCAGAGGGAAAGUCCCCAUUCUGUUUACUUGUGGCGAAAAAUAUCACACGUUAGUUAGUAUGCCUCAUCGUAGGAGUACACGUUGUUUUGUAGUUCGCCACAGAUAUGAUAGUGCUCGAGGUCGUGGAAGCUGAGAGACUAUUUCUGAUAGAGAUCCUUCUUUCCCUGAGGUCGAGUUAUCGGAUGGGUGUACUCGAGUAUCUGAUUCUUCUGACUCGACUAGUCAUACUCGAGUGUCUGAUUCCUCUAAUCCGACUGAGCAUACUGAGAAAACACCUGUCACUAGAGUCAGAGUUACUAAUAAGUUAGAAGAUGUUGUUGUUGGUAGUAGUUUUACGUUUGCUUCAGAGAUAUGUUGGGGUCCAUCCAGAAGACACUGUUACUACUAUCUCAUUGACGAUGUUGCGUAACGGGGCAGAGUAUUUCAGAGGGAUUUCUCGAGCAUCCCCGUUUGUUGGGGAGUAUUGGAUUAAGGAUAUUGAUCAUUUACUGGAUGAGAAAGAUUAUCCGGUUAAACAGAGACUUCAUGUUGUUGUUUCACUAUUAAAAGAAGAUGCCCUAAAUUGGUGGAAUUAUGUGAAGAUGAUUACUUUAAGGGAUUAUUUGACUUAUGAGUUUUUCCAAAGUGCAUUUCGGAGUCGCUUUGUUGGUGGUCGCUAUCUAAAAGAGCCAAAGCAAAAGUUUAUGGAUCUGAAACAGGGUGAUAUGACCGUUCAUGAGUAUGAGAUGUAGUUUAUGUGCCUUAUUACGUAUGUUAUUGGACCUAUUAUUACUGAGGAAGAUAAGAGCAUAUUGUUUGAGAGAGGUUUGAAUAUGGAGAUCCGUAGCAAGAUUGCUACCUUACCUAUUUAUAUGUUUUUCAACGUUCCGAGUCCGAUUUGUAGUCCGUUUUGUCAAAUUAUGACCCGAAAGCCAUGUUUUAAGUCAUUAAUUUGUGAUUUAAAGUCUUAAAUUUGUUAAGUAAAGUGUGUGGUUUUGAACUCACUUUUGGAUAUAAUUUUUUAAAGUACUCUUGCAUCUCUGGAUCGCUCUCAAGUAAACCCUGAUCAGUCCCAACCUACGCAGUUUGAUUCUGGUCACUCAUCCCGAGGUACCUGUAAGUGUUAAAUAAGCGACUUUAUAGUAUAUUUAUGUUUAAUUAUUUAGAAUUCGUGUUCAUGGAGGAUUAUUAUUUAGGUUUCCGUUCCACUGGACCUAGUACUUCAGACCGUAGAAAGCGUAAGGCUUAGCUGACGUAGGUUAUCUUCUUUAGGUGUGUCUUAUUUACCUAUUUGAUACUCUGAUAUGUUAGACUAUUAUGUCUAAUACUACUGUUAGAAUUUGUUGAAAUUUGGUUGCACUUAUCUGUGUCAUUCGUAUUUCUGAAUAAUGUUGCAUCACCCAUGAUAUGAUCAUUGGUGCAUUUCCAACGUCUGCAUGGGAUUAUAUCCCCGUUCUGUUCUGCUUGGGAUUAUAUCCCCGUUCUGUUCUGCUUGGGAUUCUCGACUAAGAGCAAAACUCCCAUUUUGAUUUCUGCUUCGGGCUAGGAUUCUCUUCGGAUGGAAAAUCCCUAUUCUGUUUACUUGCGGCGAAAUGUAAGUAGUGUGUUAUUGGUGAUGCAUUCUGUGAAUUUAAUUCGAACUUAAUAUUACACUUUAUUUACAUUAUUUUGCAUAUAAUAAGGUAACUACUUUACUUCAGAGGAUACACUGGGCUUCGUAGCUCAUUUUCUAGUUUGUCUUUUUAGAUUGCUCAGACUUUUAAGCUGUACAAUCGGUACUCGGAGGAUCUUUAGCAGCCAUUUUC